GGAAAGACUUCUGAGAUCACCGAGCCAUAACCUUUGACGGAUCUUCACCGUGCCGCGUCCAGUCGUUCCUUAAACACCUUCAGGGAUGGGCGGCGCAGCGCAGGUUGUUCAGCACCUGCAUGACGUACAGGAUGGUGGUGUCUCUCAGGCACGCCGUGCUCUCGGGGCUCUCCUGCGGCGGGGACACAGAUGGAACGGGUCAGCAGUGAGGUGGGAGCUGCUGCCCCAAAAGCCGUCACCCCGCCGGUUUUACUUACGGUUCGCAUGGCCGCCUGCAGCUUGUGCAGCCAGUGCCGCAGCCUGCCCGAGGGCUGGUGAGCAGGAUCCACCUGCAGGGAGAGAAGCGGGGUCCACUAAAUUCCAUUUCCGUUGGAAGAGCCUGGUGUUGCAUCUGUGGUUGUUCACCUGCAGGCAUAAACCGAGAGAGACUGAAAAACUCUCAUCCUGACUUCUGGCAAUAUUGUACAACCCCGCCCCAGCCAGCCUUGAGGGGUCUGAAACCAGGAUGAAAUUUGGCUCAGCAUCCUUCACGUCCCCAUAUACCCUUGGAAAACAUCUUCCUGAUCCCCAAAGGGCUGCAGAAAACAUGCACCUUGUCACUCAGGUCUUGAAUUCAGCAUCCCCUCUGCCUCGCCCCCCGCCAGCCCACAGCCCCCUGUUGCCAGCAGUACUCACAAACUGUCUCAUCUUGUCCGCAGCCUUCUGCUCCUCGUGUGCAAUGUUCUGGUACUUGGAGAGCCUGCAUCCCUGCCUCAGGGUGUCAUGGGGAAAGGCAGCCCCCAGGCUGACCCCCAGCACCAGCACCAGCACCAGCAGUGGGGUGAGGCUCAGGCACGACAUUUUGGCAAUGAAGGCUUGACAGUCAGCGAUGGAUAACGACGGGAUGGGCUUUCCCUGGUUCAGCCUGUGCUGUCACACCACCAUGACCCCUUGAGCCUCCUCUCUCAGCCUUUCCUCGUGGGAGAUAUGUUCCUGUCCAUCAUCUCGAUGGCCUGGAUUGGACUCCCUCCAGUCCCUGCCAUGUCUGUCUCCCACUGAGGAGCCCAAAACUGGACCCAGCACUUUAGGGGUGACCUCAGCAGCGCUGAGAAGAGGGAAGGAAUCACCUUUCUUGGCCUUCUGGAAACACUUGAGCUCCAGAGGUUUCAUCAGCCCAUUUCUCCAGCUUGUUGAGGUCUACUGUCCCUGAGGACAGUGGGACAAUCCCCUGCUGGGUCAUCCCCUUCUCCCAGUUUGGUGUCACCACUGACCUUGGUAGAUCGAGGGUCCCCUGGGCCUCAUCAUCCAGAUCAUUAAUGAAGAGGUUGAGCAGGAGCAGCUGUUGACUCACAGGGUCCAUCCAGCCCUUCCUGAGCCCUUGCCCUGCUCCAACUGCAUCCCAGAGGGCUCAGAUCUUUCCUGGAAAACCACGGCGGAGAUGAAGAAUGGGAAGGGGCAGUAUGGACUGGACAGUGGCUCAUUCCACUUUGUCCAAACUGGAUGCAGACACAGCUUGGAGGAGAGCCAGGACAGCAAAAUGUGGUGCUAAAGCCCCAGAGCGUGGAGGGCUCAAGUAUUCCAGUCAUGGAUGUGGCCACUGGGCCAGGCUGCCUCCCAGGCUCCAGCACCAGCCUCCCUCACAGCAGCAGGUUAGGGAAGGUCAGUCAUUUAAGGCCUGGUGUGGGCUGGGGUCCCUUGUUUGCCCUUUUGGUGAACAGGACAAUGACUCUGUCUUUCCUUUCUCUCCCAUUAAAGAAACCCACAAGAGAUUAAUUUUUAUUCAACACAAUGAAGUUCAUCAUCAAUACAGCUCUGAAAUACAAGUCCAAACCAGCAUCAGUAAGUCCAUUUCUGUCAUCCAAACAGGCACAGCUCAGCUGGAAUAAAGGGCACCUUAGCAGAAAAUCUCACCAGAUGUACAAUAAAUGUGGCCCCCAGUGAGAGAGGGGUGAUCCACCACCAACCACGGUCCCACAGCUCCAAUCCCUGCUGAGACACUUUCGUGUCACCCGUCGGGUCACAGAGCAGCAUCACAUCCUCGUGGGACAGCUUGGGCUCCUGUUUCCCAUCACUGUGGCUUUUCUCUCCCAGCUGUCAUUUCUGUUUGGAGAAGUAAAGUGAAACCUCACCUCUUCACACAUGAAAAGGAAAUUAAGAAAAGCCAAAGCUGUGGGGUGAAGCUGGGCCAUGAGAGCAGCCCCCAGCACUCAUGGUAGCUGGGAUGGAGGGAUGAGGAUCUUCCCUGGGCACCUUGCUCAGAUAUUUGUGCACCCCCAGCCCGCAGGGGCCUGGCUGAGCAGCAGUCAGGGCUUUUUCUUAAUGGAUGGGGUGUUGCCAUCCUGGGCUUUGGUGUGUGUCGUGCCCAGCAAUGUCGCAUUCCAUCAUAGCCCAGCCAGCAAAGCAUGGCUGCAUUUGCCACAGCUCCUCCAAACCAUGCCAGUGCCAGCUGUCCCUGGCAGUGGAGAGUUCCCCAAAGCCAGCAUGGGCUGGGGACAUCAGGGACCCAGAACAAUCAUCAUUCCAGUCCCAGCUGCCGAUGGUGCUGUGCCAGGAGAGCAGCAUGGAUAGUGAUGAUGGAACCCCUUCCUUGAGUUCACCCAGCCUGGAGGCUGGAGCCACUCAGGCUUGCUUGGAGCAAGAAAUUCCAGGUGUGUGGGAUUUCCAGGUGCGAGAACAAAAGUGAAACCUGACUGUGGACAGGGCUGGCGUCAGCACUGGGUGAGGCAAUCACUCUGUGCUGACUCAUGGGCUCCUGCAUGGCACAAGUGUGGGAAAGCUGUUUGCCACAAGCCAUGGCACUGCAGUGGGUCAGGAUGAGCCCAGAUGGCUCCUGACCCGUCAGUGGGCUAGUCUGGGAGGAAGUGACUCCUGCUAACCUGACUAGUCUGGGUAGAGAAGACAGCAAGAACAGAAAGCGUGCCCCAAAAGAGGCAGCUUUGAAAUAAACCCCUGGGUGACGUGUGGGAGCCCUGCCAUGGCCCCAUGGUGCCAGGACAGAGGGCAGCAGGUGGGCUCUGCUCAUCAGCCAUCACCAGACCUGUCCCUGCCAGCCCAGGGUGUUGGUGCCACCAAAGUGCCCCCAGCCCCACUCCAUCCCCAGAGCCCUUCAGCACCUCCCAGCUCGUGUGAGCUGCAGCAGCCACGCAAUGGCUGGUGCUGCUCUGCUGCACCACCCUGCACACUGGUGAUGCAAUCAGUCCAAUCCCUGCUGUUCAGUCAUGGCUGUAUGGUGCAGGCAGGGAAGGGAUCUUAAAUUAAAUUACAGAUGUAAUUAGUGAGCA